GCGAUGUUAAAUUCGCAUGAUAUAUGUCAAGGUCACUUUUCCUGAAAUUCUAAGGAGUGACGUUUUGGUCUUUAUCGAAUUCCGAAACGCACAUUUAACAAUAUGCGCAUUUCUUUUAUUACCACGUGGAUAAUAUUUUGGUUGUUCUGAGGUGUUUUUUUUUUAAAUAUAAGUAUGUGGUUAAGAUUGCAAAGGAGACAACUCUUCAUCAGAAAUUUAAUUAUAUAGAAUUAAACAACGUUCGACCGCUGUAUGGCCUUCGACAAUGAGUAAAA
rnacentral:lncRNA from 1 species